GUAACAAGGUUUCCGUAGGUGAACCUGCGGAAGGAUCAUUGUCGUUGCCUUCAAACAUGACCGUGAACACGUAACACAAAGCUACCGGGGAGGGGCUUCCUCCUCGGACCCACCGGCCUCGGCCCUUCGGUCGAGUGUCGGAAUGCGGCGCGGAUUGUCGCCAAGGAACACUGAUUUGCUUAGGCAGGCCGCRYCAUGCGGUGCUGCUGAGGCCAAAUAAACAAUAYGACUCUCGGCAACGGAUAUCUCGGCUCUCGCAUCGAUGAAGAACGUAGCGAAAUGCGAUACGUGGUGUGAAUUGCAGAAUCCCGUGAACCAUCGAGUCUUUGAACGCAAGUUGCGCCCGAGGGACCCUCCCGAGGGCACGCCUGCCUGGGCGUUAGAAGCCCAUCAACGCUCGGUCACCCCUCCACAAACUGUGGCRGCGGAUUCGACCAGAUGCGGACAUUGGCCCUCCGAGCCGUAAAGGCACGGCGGGCUCAAGUGCAAGGCCGUCGAUGGUGUUGGGAGCGGCAAGUGGUGGGCUACAGCGCAUGCCGACCCCGACCCAUGUCGACAUUUGGCCCUUGUUGACCCCAGAACAAGGAGAUUGUCACUACAGCGUCUCGCUUUGUGACAUAUUCGGACCGAUACCCCAGGUCAGGCGGGGCCACCCG
rnacentral:sRNA from 1 species